GUAUAUAUUUUGGUACUCUGACUGCCACACACAUACGCGUUCAAGUUGUCUAACAGGUUUCAAUAUUAUCAAGAACAAUACUUCACAGUACUGCCGUUGAUAACAUUGAAGGUGAUAUCCGACAGUAGUACUGCACAGUACACUGUAGAUAACCCCUAACCCUGAGACGACCUCAUAUUUAGAGCGCGACCUAAAUCACCUCCAAUACUCUCUCGCAAUGAUCCUUCCGCAGGUUCACCUACGGAAA
rnacentral:misc_RNA from 1 species